rnacentral:ncRNA from 1 species
UACGUUUCAAAAUUUCGAAGUUGUCAGCCGCUGCGUUAAAAUGCUCAGCUUAUCGUCUUCCAUAAUGUCAUUUGCUUUCACGAGAUUAAUGUCAAACAUAGAGAUAAGAUACCACUUCUGCCGUUCACGGUACCCUGUUUUUUACGCUAACUCGCCUUCAUUAUUAUGAUUUUCUAUGUGUGAGAAGAAAUUUAGAGUCUUGUAGACGUUUGUGAGUCGGUGUCGUGGUUGUGCAGCCUUUCUGUCGUGUCUGUUUCGGCAGGUGUUAGCAUGAUUGGUGGGUUCGUCCUGCUGAUCUGUUGACAUGCUUCCAGGUGCCCUUAACCGGGUGUCGGGGGCGGACGGCACGUUUACUUUGAACACAUUUGAGUGCUCAAAGCAGGCCCGUGUGCCUGAAAAUUCUCGCAUGGAAUAAUGGAAUAGGACUUCGGUUUUAUUUUGUUGGUUUUCGGAUCCGAAGUAAUGGUUAAAAGGGACAGACGGGGGCAUUUGUAUGGUGGCGUUAGUGGUGAAAUUCUUGGAUCACCGCCAGACAAACUACAGCAAAAGCAUUUGCCAAGGAUGUUUUCAUUGAUCUGGAGCGAAAGUCAGAGGUUCGAAGACGAUCAGAUACCUUCCUGGUCCUGACCAUAAACGAUGCCAACUGACGAUCCGUGGUGGCGCGAUUAUUCGCCCCGCGGGCAGCCCCCGGGAAACCUUUAAGUCUUUGGGCUCCGGGGGAAGUAUGGUUGCGAAGCUGAAACGUAAAGGAAUUGACGGAAGGGCAUCACCAGGAGUGGAGCCUGCGGCUUAAUUCGACUCAACACGGGAAAUCUCACCCGGCCCGGACACUGUGAGGAUUGACAGAUUGAUAGCUCUUUCUUGAUUCGGUGGUUGGUGGUGCAUGGCCGUUCUUAGUUGGUGGAGCGAUUUGUCUGGUUAAUUCCGAUAACGAAUGAGACUUUGGUCUGCUAAAUAGUACGCCUGUCCUCUGUGCUCGUGCAGGUGGCGGUGCUCAUUGCCUCUCUGGGGUGAUGGUGCCAUUCGCCGGCGGGUGCGGCGCAGGUGUCUACUUCUUAGAGGGACAAGCGGCGUGCCAGUCGCACGAAAUUGAGCAAUAACAGGUCUGUGAUGCCCUUAGAUGUCCGGGGCCGCACGUGCGCUACAAUGACGGUUUCAACGAGUUUGGGAUCCUAGCCCGAAAGGGUUGGGUAAACUGAACCAUAACCGUCGUGACUGGGAUCGGGGCUUGCAAUUGUUCCCCGUAAACGAGGAAUUCCUGGUAAGUGCAAGUCAUAAGCUUGCGCUGAUUACGUCCCUACCCUUUGUACACACCACCCGUCGCUACUACCGAUUGAAUGGUCUAGCAAGGUCCUCGGAUUGGUGCCAUUGUAGUUGCUUCGGCAUCGCUUUUGUAUUGCGGUGUCCCUGAUAUUGAAGAGUUUUGCCCAAUACAAUGCCGGAUUGGUUAGCAUACAAAACCAGGCUGAAAA